AUAUUCCCUCAGAGCGCAGCCACCAGCCAUCCAGAGCGAGCGCACGGAGGACGCAGCAGGACCGCAGCGGACCGCACGCUGGUGGAUUUGUAUCUUUUUUUUUUUUUUUUUUUUUUUUUUUUUUUUUUUAAAUUUAAGUCGGCGUUCCGGACCCGUCCGUCCGACAGACUCUCGCAUGAACAGCGGACGUGGACGUGGGAGAACCAAAGAGGGAGAGUGAUCCUUGGUGUCCCUAUAUACCGCAUCAUCUGCCGCUGCUAGGAAACUGUACAGAACCCCGCACCACCACUCCACGCAGCGCACAGGAUCAUCUACAUUGAGGAUCUGUGUGUUUUCACUCCUUUUUUGGGGAUAUACAAACAAUUGUGGCCAAGCGCGAGAGCCUUUUUAGACAGGAUUACUCCCCUUUCCCUUCCCUUCUCCUCGUCCUCCGACGUAGCCAUGAGCCAGGCGGACGUGUCCACGUGCUCGGCACCGCAGAGGGUGUUCCAGGAGGCGGUGAAGAAGGGCAACACCAAGGAGCUGCACUCGCUGCUGCAGAACAUGACGAACUGCGAGUUCAACGUCAACUCGUUCGGACCCGAGGGCCAGACGGCGCUGCACCAGUCCGUCAUCGACGGCAACCUGGAGCUGGUCAAGCUGCUGGUCAAGUUCGGCGCGGACAUCCGGCUCGCUAACCGGGAGGGCUGGAGCGCCCUGCACAUCGCCGCCUUCGGGGGCCACCAGGACAUUGUGCUAUACCUCAUCACCAAGGCCAAGUACUCAUCUGGGGCCCGGUGAUCGCUCUCUCCCAGCCUCCCUUCCUUCUUCCUUCUCACUCUCUCUGCUGUGUGUCAGAAACAGCACGGCUUAUACUGCAUUGAAAGCAUCGGACAGACUGAGACACGCUAACAAACAACAACAGUGGAGGCCAACCAGUGUACCUCCUACUUGCCAACCGGAUGUUUUCGUUGAGCUGGGCUCCCAUUGUUCACAUAGCGACUUGGCUGGCCUCCCACAGCCACUGGUUGCUGCUGUGGCUGCUAUCGACCCCCCCAAGCCCCCCAAUGGCUUCUUCAUGCGCCUCCUGUGUGAGCCAGACAGACAACGCAAAGAAUCUUGGGAGAGGAGAACCAGCUGAAAGUAAAUAAACAGAUCGACGGGGGUGAGCCCAGCGUCGCAGAGUGCUUGUAUUGUCCCUUGGCUACCGGCAUUAGAUAAAUGGAGUUAAAUGGCGGGCCAUGCUUUUCGUAACAGGCUUUACCCAACUUAAUCCACCUUUUGAAGACCCUGUAAAGUAAUUUCUGUGUUUUGUUUCUAAAUACAUUAAAUAUUUUUGAAGAUACUUGCUGAAAACAUGUGCCAAGACUGAGAACAAUUUAGUAUUCAGUGGUUGAGAUACAGUAUAACGUUAAACUCUUUCACCAUUUUGGUUGAUGGUAUUUUUAGGGCAGGGCUAAAAACAAGCCCAAGUAUGCACUUGGGCUUUCUGGCAUUAGUCACCCCUGCCCCACCAUAUAAGUGCUGAGCGCCGUCAUUCCAUCAGUGGCUAUUUGGCGCAAUUGCGAGUUACUUAGUAAUGCAGUUUUUCAAAGUUGCUAAAACACAUUUCUUGAAACCUCCACCCAUUUUCUCAAAACCUUAAACACAAAUUCAAAAAUUCAAACUACAUUCACAAAAACCCAAACUCUUCGAUCACAAUCGAACUAUCAACUCAAAACCAGUUAUCCUGUGUUUAAAACCAAACAAUGUGUUUCGAUCAUACACGCAGCGAGUCAAAAAUAUAUUCACCAUAGAAGAGCGACCUUCAGUUAAAAUUUGGAGGGGUCCGGUUGCAAGGGAUUUGUUUUGUUCACAUUUUGCUGCCAGUUUUUAUAACUUUGCAACACAAGUGUACUGUAUCACACAGUGAAGUCUAUUUAGUGACUGAGAAUUUGUUUCAGGUUUUGCAAAAAAGAGCAGAUGCGUUUUGCAAAUUGAGUUUAAGCUUAAGCACAUGAAAAGCUAUUGUGGCCAGAUAGCUGGCCCUGUGAGGGGAAUUUGAAAUCUGAUUGAUUAUAAAAACACUCCCAUUGAUAAUGUAGUCUAAGUUACUUCGGCAAGCAUUACUAAUUUUGAAGGCCGUGGGCAGAUAGACUAACAUGGCAACACAGAGGCUAAAAUCUGAUUGGCCCAAAAAAAAUCUGACAUACACAUACUGUACGCUACUGGAAACAGUCCAGCCAAGAGAAACGCUAUGAAAAAAAGAGAAUGGAGUGUUGGAAAUAAAUGAAUACAAUUCCUCGGUGGCCAUGACGGUCCACCGCUGGUGAGAUGGAUCCUGCCGCAGCAGCUGCAAACAAGUGUGUGAUAAUCUUCAGUGUCAUUGUUGGGCCCCCUCAUAAAAUAUUCAUAGUCGUGCUCAGAGCGUCUCACAUGAUAAGUGUAACAUGCAAAUGAACACUCAAUUUCUCAUUUUCCAACGGCGCCCGUUCAACUUUGUAAAGCUCAGUCCCGGCUUUAAUGGCGCGUUCCUCCGCGUCACUUCCUCAGAGUCACUGACGGUUAGUACGAUAGCGCUUAAAUGCGGUUUGUGAAAUAGUGGAAGAGUGAAGUGAAGAGCCACAAAGAGGAAUUUAAAGAAUGCCUUUCUCAAAGCUUCGGUUGCAUCCACGUUAUUAGGUGACACAGCAAUCUAAUCUAAUGAGAGCUCAUGAUGAUUGUGACAUGGAUUUGUCAAAAUAUCCAAAACGCAAGAUUUUUUUUCCCCCCACAUUUUCAUAAUGGGUGUUGUGUGUAGAUUGGAAUAAAUCUAUUUUGAAAUAAGGCUGUAACAUAAUGCAAACGUUGGGAAAAAGUGAAGAGCCCUGAAUACUUUUCAGAUGCACUGUACUGUUGGGCCAAGGACGGGUCUGGCUUUUGUUUUUUGUCUUGAGUUUGUUGUCACAUUUCUGUGGGGCCAAUUAUAUAUUACUCGUGCACUCACUGUCGUAGUCUCGCCACGCUGCACUAUUUGCAUAUCUGUUGUUGACCAAUACUGGCCACUCAUGCCAGAGUAGCAUCUGCACCACUUGCACACUGACCGAGGAGUAUCUGCAACAUUUGCACAAUCAACAUUGUCCGAGAUUAUCGCACUAUUAGUCACUUUAAACUGCAUACAUUCCUUGAAGUCUCGGCGCCCUUUGCACAAUGAUCAUUGCACCGGACUAUUGCUAUAUUAGUCAUUCAAACUGCUCUAAGUUCUAGAGCACUGAUUCCCAGCCAGUGUGCCGUGGGAAAUUAGUAAUUUUACUUAAUUGCUCCAAAAAAAAUUAUUUACAAGAAAUAAUGUAUCUUUUAUCAUCUAUUUAUGCCAGUGGGGCAUAGUCACAGAGAGAACAAAUAAAUGCUCUUCUAUUAGAUGGCGGGAAGUACAUACAGUGAUUAAUGCAUCCACUUUGUGACAUUUUUGUUUGUUGGUAUGCUGUGAGAUUUUUCAACAGUAAAAUAUGUGCCAUAGCUCCAUAAAGGUUUAAAAAUCACUGUGCUAGAGGACUCUGCAUCUUUUUGUACAAUUGUCAAAAAAAAUAAAAAAUUAAUUAUUUGUACCGGCAUUACCAGAUAACUAGCAACCCUUUACUGCU